rnacentral:pre_miRNA from 1 species
AUGACGUGUAGCAUGCCCGUUUGUGGAAUUACUCUGAUGUAUAUAUAUGCUAUGUUAUUGUUUUUGGGUAACAGGGUGUUACAAGGCA